AUUCCUAGAGAAUUGGGAACCUACUAAAAGCUCUUAUCUAGUAUUAAAAGCACCUGGCAUGAAUGUGCUGAAGGUUUCCUUGAGUACACCGCAAGAAAUAGCAGAUGGGGUUUCAGUAUGGGAGUGGUCUGGUGCUGCGCUAGAUAAUUAAGAUAUGCCUGCAAUUUGCUUCGACAAGGAAUGAAACAAAUAAUAAUGAACUCAGAAACCCAUGAAGCUAAAGCGUUGGAGAAGGUGGAGGAUAAGUAAUGAGAACUCUGAAGCAUUGGCUUUUAUCAUUGAUGAGAGUUCACUCGCUUACACUAUAGAGGCAUAAGCUAUGGAGGAGGUUUCUGAGAAUCUUAAGAAACAAUUGAACAAGUUAGUGCUAGAUGAUGAAAUUAAACAUCUCCUGUAAAAGAUAUUGUAAACAUAGACACAGCAAGGUGCUCUGAUAGGGGAAAUUGAAGCAAAUGAGAAGCAUAGAUAUCAACUCCAACUUGAGGAGGCCAUUAGUAACAAUGGCAACAAAACUUGCGCAUUCUUAGCCAACACAGGCUAUUGGGUUAAUGGCUAAUGCUGAGCUUCAAUUCAAAAUGGCAAUGAGGGAUAAAGUCAUUAACAACCAACGGAAGGCGGUGAGAAACAUAUGAGACUUGCUGAUGAUUAGUUACUCAAUAUAACCGUACAAUCAUGCACCUCUGCGAAGUUUCGAAAAACCAGAGUAAUGUAGGUGAAAGUGCGGGGAUUUUUUGUUAGAUUAAGGAAACAUAUAUACUUGAGCUACAAAGGAGGUAACUCUCUCAGUUUAUUUGUAAGGUAUAUGAUUAAUUAGGCACUGCUCUUUUGAUUCACGUCAACUUGAAAGUGAAUGAAUCCAUAUUGGUAAUAUAAUUAGAUAAUGAAUA